CAAAAUGCAAGUUGGAGAGAAGCCUUCUAAUCACUCAGGUCUGAGUCCUUUUUUUGUUGGUGAAAAACAUUUACAUUCCAUAGCAGUUAAUAGCCCGGUUAGAUCUUACACACAAACAAAAAGUACUUCUCAAAAACACUACGAAUUCUCAGAAGCAUAUAAGGAGCUGUUCCCUCCUCCUAUAAAUUUGGUCACCAAUACAGUCAGCACAGAUUCUUGCCAUUGGUCUCAAGGAAUCUCAGCAAAUCUCAGCAAACAUGUAAUGGAUCAGUCUAGAUAAUACGUUCAUGUAAUAUGGUCAAAGUUCUACCUUCAACUGACCAGUGUAACCCACAGAUAAAGCCAUUGAAAAUGAAAUUUGAAAUAUCAUUUUGGGAAAUUCAUAUAUAUGAUUUUAAAAAGUGAUCUAACUGAAUACUGC
rnacentral:lncRNA from 1 species